UGAGCAAUCUGCCCUUCUCAUCGGAAUAAGCGUUGGAAACGACGUCUAAUGCCGAAUACGACCUCCUUUCGCAUGAUCGGAGGUGGAAAGCUCCGGCGGAGAAGGAUGAGCUCGCGGCCUAUCAGCUAGUUGGUGUGGGUAAUGGCCCACCAAGGCGACGACGGGUAGCCGGCCUGAGAGGGUGACCGGCCACGACUGGGACUGAGACACGGCCCAGACUCCUACGGGAGCAG
rnacentral:rRNA from 1 species